GCUGAAGAUCGUGUCAAACGACGACGGCGGAGGAGAAUCUGUCUGCGGAGGGAUCAGGAUGCGGAUUAAGUCACGUGAUACACGGACACGCGUGUUUCGACCAGAAAAACAUCACAGCUGAGUCUGGACAAAACAAUGUCACUCUGCCAUGUUGAGCUCCAAACAAUAUCAUACUUGUGGAGUGGAGAAGAGCUGACCUUGAUCCACAAGAUGUUAUUUCAUUUCGGAAGAACUACUUUGUUCUCGUCAGGCAGCAUCCAACUUUUAAGAACCGGGUGGAUCUGCAGGACAGACAGAUGAAGGAUGGAGACGUGUCUUUGAUUCUGAAGGAUGUGACGAUUAAUGACACUGGAACAUACGAGUGUCAUACCUUCAUGGAGAAAACCAAAUCAUGGGAAAACAUCUGCAUCAUCUACCUGAGUGUUGUUGAUCCUCCAGGAGACAUGUUUAUCUUGUCACAAAGAACAAGUUUUGUUACACCGCUAUUAUCGCGAGGUUUGGGCGUGAUAAUAUAGGCUGUGAGCCCACGUUUAAUAAUCACGCUAAGGAGUUCAGCGAGCUAUCUGCAAAGGCCUGGUUAGUCUACCAGCUGUACAAGAAUGCGCAAGACUGUAAAGGUAUUCUUCUAGAACCUCCGAAGUGGCAGGCGGCCUCGAGGUCAGACAGGAGGACACACAGAGGAUGGAGGGAAUAAAUAUCCUGCCUUAAGUCAGCCACCAUCGUUCCAGUGCCCAAGAAGAACACAGUGAGCUGCUUGAAUGACUAUCGUCCAGUUGCUUUAACAGCUCAUCAUGUCACACAUUAAAGCUGCCA